rnacentral:rRNA from 1 species
CAGUAGCCGCGGUAAUACGUAGGUCCCGAGCGUUGUCCGGAAUUAUUGGGCGUAAAGCGCGCGCAGGCGGAUCAGUCAGUCUGUCUUAAAAGUUCGGGGCUUAACCCCGUGAUGGGAUGGAAACUGCUGAUCUAGAGUAUCGGAGAGGAAAGUGGAAUUCCUAGUGUAGCGGUGAAAUGCGUAGAUAUUAGGAAGAACACCAGUGGCGAAGGCGACUUUCUGGACGAAAACUGACGCUGAGGCGCGAAAGCCAGGGGAGCGAACGGGAUUAGAUACCCCCGUAGUCCCUGUCUCUUAUACA